CCAGACAGAAAGUUUAGCUUUCUAUUUUGGUCUCAGGGUCUUAGAGGUCAUCCCAGGUGGGUCAUCCCAAUCACAUGGGUUGUCCUAAGUAGAUCGUCCCACUGCAUGCCAUGAGUCAAAAUGAAGCGUGUCGGCUGUCCAACGAAAGGGGAUGACCCAGAUGGAUUGUCCUAUUUUAUUCCAACCUAAUUUUUCAUGUAUUUAGGUUCAAAAAUUAUCAGAACACUUCCAAACGCUCUCAAGUG
rnacentral:lncRNA from 1 species